rnacentral:rRNA from 1 species
GAACGCUGGCGGCAUGCUUAACACAUGCAAGUCGAACGAGAAAGCUUCUUCGGAAGUGAUUAAAGUGGCGCACGGGUGAGUAACGCGUANACAAUCUGCCCUUCAGUCCGGGACAACUUUCCGAAAGGGGAGCUAAUACCGGAUAACAAUGUUUAACAUAAGUUGAAUAUUUGAAAGCUCCGGCACUGAUGGAUGAGUCUGCGUCCCAUUAGCUUGUUGGUGCGGUAGCGGCGCACCAAGGCCACGAUGGGUAGCGGGUUUGAGAGGACGAUCCGCCACACUGGAACUGAGACACGGUCCAGACUCCUACGGGAGGCAGCAG